rnacentral:lncRNA from 10 species
AAACAGAGACGUUCACUGGUUCCCAACUGUUAGCCAGGGCAGAAAAUCUGCGGCUAUCUGCAGGGUGCACUAAUUAUACAGAUUUGAUGGAAGGCUGUAUUCGGGGGUUUACUAGAGAGACUGAGUGCAUAAAUUUGAUCAAGAAGAUUAGAAAAUGACCGAGGAAGUGGAUAAUCGGUUUUUACAAUGGUGCGCUUGGAAAUUCUAAUUAGUAGUAGCAAUUGGAUUCUGCAAUUUUUUCUUUGGUGAGUCCCAACAAAACCAAUUAACUUGUGUUGCAUCCAUACAUUACCACGCACACGACCAUAAGCAAGGGAAGGCGUGCUGAGUCUAACUGCUGCCUUUUGGCUUUUAACAGAAAAUCAAUUCAUUUUGGCACAUUAAACCAUUAGUGCCCAUUGGAUAUGAAUUUCCCCUUUUUCUUUAAAUUUCUCUCCCGCUUCCCCUUUUUCUGUUAUGGGGGAGGAAACUGUUGACUUUGAAGGCUGUGAAUGGGAGGCUUCCCGGGAAAUCGGGAUAAACUCAUGCACACUGAUGUGUCUUUGGGCUUCAAGGAACUUUCUGAUUGAAUUCUCAAAGUCCUCAAGGCUUCUAAAUUCUACAAUCAAGCAUCAGCUUUAUGAAUUCCAUAUUCCGUGAAGAGGUGGUGUCAUUGAGAACCUGUUGGAUGGAUGUCAUCAGCACUGUCUGAAGGGUUCCUCAGAGGUACAGCAGAUUAGAUGAGGAGGCACUUCUACACUAGGGAUGGAAAAUUAAUGGUACCUGUGAUG